UGAGUCCCUAUGGCUCACAGAUUACUACAACACCAGUUGCAGGUACAGGUAAAGCGAUACUUUGACGUGAACGCGAUGAUUAUUCUAUUUGUAGUUUCUUCUUCUUCUUCUUCAUCGAUCUAGGAUGGGUUCAAGGCCGGCAGCCUGGGAUAGCAAUGAUGGAUGUCGUUCAUUUAUCGUUUGUUUUCGUCCGUAGUCGGACCCUACUCUUCUACAUGAUGACUGUAUGUUGUUGUACUGAUGUGAACUUGAUGUAGCUUGUGGUGAGUGUAAUCCAAUUCCAUAUACUCAUCUCUUCAGUACAUGUACUUGUAACGAUAUCCAUUCUUGCGAAACGAUGGGAUGCACUUCUAUCCCUGUCGAGGCCCUCAUGCCAAAAUGAGGAUAGGAUCGCGUCUUGGACGUUACAACUAUGUUCAAGAUAAAUGAGUUUAGUUAAUCAUAUUGCUAAUAAACUCCCACUCAAAUUGACACCCCUCUAGUCAUUGAGUGUCACAUGAUCCAAAUUCACUAACUCAAGUCCGAUCAUUACGUGAGUUAAGUUAGCUUCAGUGCUGAACAUCUCUAUGU
rnacentral:lncRNA from 1 species